GCGUUGAGACUGAUGCUGGGAUGGAGAAUGAAACAGAACUGACAUAUCAUUCUCAUGAUGUGACGUCAAGUGAGCUAGGAUCUCCAGAGAGGACACGGAGGUCAUGAAAGUAACAACAGACAAUCAAGCAACUGUGUCACCAGCAAACGUCUGAUACUGACCCAGAAGAUGGUGUGGUGGUUCCAGAGAUCCAAUGCCCUUUAUCUGAACAGAGCCUUGCUGUCCUGCAGGGAUUAAUUGAUCCCCUGAAAUCAUCACUGAACU